rnacentral:rRNA from 1 species
GGUUAAGCGACUAAGCGUACACGGUGGAUGCCCUGGCAGUCAGAGGCGAUGAAGGACGUGCUAAUCUGCGAUAAGCGUCGGUAAGGUGAUAUGAACCGUUAUAACCGGCGAUUUCCGAAUGGGGAAACCCAGUGUGUUUCGACACACUAUCAUUAACUGAAUCCAUAGGUUAAUGAGGCGAACCGGGGGAACUGAAACAUCUAAGUACCCCGAGGAAAAGAAAUCAACCGAGAUUCCCCCAGUAGCGGCGAGCGAACGGGGAGGAGCCCAGAGCCUGAAUCAGUGUGUGUGUUAGUGGAAGCGUCUGGAAAGGCGCGCGAUACAGGGUGACAGCCCCGUACACAAAAAUGCACAUGCUGUGAGCUCGAUGAGUAGGGCGGGACACGUGGUAUCCUGUCUGAAUAUGGGGGGACCAUCCUCCAAGGCUAAAUACUCCUGACUGACCGAUAGUGAACCAGUACCGUGAGGGAAAGGCGAAAAGAACCCCGGCGAGGGGAGUGAAAAAGAACCUGAAACCGUGUACGUACAAGCAGUGGGAGCACAGAGCAAUCUGUGUGACUGCGUACCUUUUGUAUAAUGGGUCAGCGACUUAUAUUCUGUAGCAAGGUUAACCGAAUAGGGGAGCCGAAGGGAAACCGAGUCUUAACUGGGCGUUAAGUUGCAGGGUAUAGACCCGAAACCCGGUGAUCUAGCCAUGGGCAGGUUGAAGGUUGGGUAACACUAACUGGAGGACCGAACCGACUAAUGUUGAAAAAUUAGCGGAUGACUUGUGGCUGGGGGUGAAAGGCCAAUCAAACCGGGAGAUAGCUGGUUCUCCCCGAAAGCUAUUUAGGUAGCGCCUCGUGAAUUCAUCUCCGGGGGUAGAGCACUGUUUCGGCAAGGGGGUCAUCCCGACUUACCAACCCGAUGCAAACUGCGAAUACCGGAGAAUGUUAUCACGGGAGACACACGGCGGGUGCUAACGUCCGUCGUGAAGAGGGAAACAACCCAGACCGCCAGCUAAGGUCCCAAAGUCAUGGUUAAGUGGGAAACGAUGUGGGAAGGCCCAGACAGCCAGGAUGUUGGCUUAGAAGCAGCCAUCAUUUAAAGAAAGCGUAAUAGCUCACUGGUCGAGUCGGCCUGCGCGGAAGAUGUAACGGGGCUAAACCAUGCACCGAAGCUGCGGCAGCGACGCUGAUGCGUUGUUGGGUA